UAAAAGUUGUAACAAGGUUCCGUUCGUGAGCCCCGGAGGAUCAUUACCGAGUUUCAACUCCCUAACCCCGUGUUGAACAUACCGUACCCCGGUUGCCUCGGCGGACCCCCGCCUCCCCGUAACACGGGAGCGGCCCGCCAGAGGACCCAACAAACCCUGUUUUUUUCAGUAUCUUCUGAGUGAAAACACAAUCAAUUAAAACUUUCAACAACGGAUCUCUUGGUUCUGGCAUCGAUGAAGAACGCAGCGAAAUGCGAUAAGUAAUGUGAAUUGCAGAAUUCAGUGAAUCAUCGAAUCUUUGAACGCACAUUGCGCCCGCCAGUACUCUGGCGGGCAUGCCUGUUCGAGCGUCAUUACAUCCCUCAAGCCCCUUCGGGCUUGGUGUUGGGCAUCGGCCGUCCCUCCAGCGGCGGCCGUGCCCCAAAUACAGUGGCGGUCUCGCCCCCGGCUCCUCUGCGUAGUAGUAACAUCUCGCACCUGGGACGGAGCGUAGGCCCCGCCGUAAAACAACCCAACUUUCUGAAUGUGACCUCGGAUCAGGUAGGAAUAACCGCUGAACUUAAGUAUAAUAAGCGGAGGA
rnacentral:rRNA from 1 species